AAAAAAAUAAGCUAAUUUAAGCUUUUAGAUUCAUAAUCUAAAAAUAGAUAUUUUGAUUGUCUUUUUUUUA
rnacentral:tRNA from 1 species